GCUCAUCUUCAUCAUCCUCUUCGGCUGCUGCGGCGCGGCGCUUCUUCGCCUUUGCCUUCUUGGGCUUCUUUGCACGGCCCUCAUCACUGUCGUACUCCAGAAAGUCCUCUUCCUCGUCCGCCUCCUGCAGAAAAACUUCCUUGUCAGCGCUCAUGUCAAAGCUCCUCACAUGCAGAAGUAGAAGCAGUGAUACCUAAAAGCUCGUUCCCAACUACUUCAUACAAAGGUGCCACAGAGCCACUGCAAAAUAUCUUGUCAGAGGCAAUGGAACAACCUCGCUGUUGCAGCGGCAUUGUAAAAAGCACUGUAACAGUGGUAACAGUAUGACUGUGACAGUGGCCUUGUAAGAGUCCCUAUGUAACAAUAGCAUUGUUAUAGUGCCACUGUACCACUGUAACAUAACAACAGCAGCCUCGUAACAAGAUCACCAUUGAAAACCAAGACGGCAGCACCAAGCACAACUUAAACCACAGGCAUGCCUCGCCAGAACCAUCCACUGCCAAAUCAGACAGGUAAGAGAGGAAAACAGCUCACCCUGCUGGCGCGGCGCUUGGCGGCAGCCACACUGUCGACCUGUGCUGCGGCGGUGUCAGCAGCCGCAUCGUUAUCUCCUGUCA
rnacentral:lncRNA from 1 species